rnacentral:ncRNA from 1 species
UAAUAGGCAAACUUAUAGAAAUAUAAGGACGCAAAGCUAGAAGCCUUAGGUAUUGAACAAAGUGAUACAAGGUAGUUCGGCUGC